rnacentral:rRNA from 1 species
CGGCUCAGUAACACGUGGACAACCUACCCUAUGGAGGGGGAUAACCCCGGGAAACUGGGGAUAAUACCCCAUAGACUAUAGAUGCUGGAAUGCUUUGUAGUUGAAAGGUCAGCCGCCAUAGGAUGGGUCUGCGGCCGAUUAGGUUGUUGUCGGGGUAACGGCCCAACAAGCCUGUAAUCGGUACGGGUUGUGGGAGCAAGAGCCCGGAGAUGGAUUCUGAGACACGAAUCCAGGCCCUACGGGGCGCAGCAGGCGCGAAAACUUUACAAUGCGGGAAACCGUGAUAAGGGAACUCCGAGUGCCCGUAAAAUCGGGCUGUCCAUCUGUUUAAAUAACAGGUGAAGAAAGGGCCGGGCAAGACCGGUGCCAGCCGCCGCGGUAAUACCGGCGGCUCGAGUGGUGGCCACUAUUACUGGGCUUAAAGCGUUCGUAGCUGGUCUGUUAAGUCUCUGGGGAAAUCUACUGGCUUAACCAAUAGGCGUCUCAGGGAUACUGGCAGACUAGGGACCGGGAGAGGUGAGAGGUACUCCAGGGGUAGGAGUGAAAUCCUGUAAUCCUUGGGGGACCACCUGUGGCGA